GUUUUUGUAAGCCUGCAACACUGGUAAGUGUAUAAAGUGCUUUUGAAUGGUUCUAAGGAGCUCUGGCCGAUGCUGUGAGGGGAUCGUUCUGGUUUCUUCAAGGAGGAGGAAAACAUCAAAAACUCUGAAGUGGUAACAUCAUAACCUGUGCAGCAGAUGUGCCAAUGGUCACUAAGGAGCAGAAGUAUGCUGGGCCCUAACUCAGAGAUCGAUGGAUCAAAACCAUCCUCUGCUAGGCUCUCAUUUGGUGGUUGGACUAGAUGAUCUUAGCGGUGUUUUCCAACAUUAGUGGUUCUAUGAUUCUAUGAUUCCAUGUAUCAAUAUGUUGUUUGUAUUUAGCUGUAACCCACAGCCUGUCAGAAAAGCCCCACUCUUUGCUUGGUCCCCAGUGGCAGCAAUCCCCUUGAUUCUCAUCAGAGAAUCACAGAAUCACACAGUACAUCCAUAGUGUGGCUUGCAGGCCAUGUCCUUCAUCCCAUUGUGUGCCACCUCUUGCUCAGUUCCCAGUCCUUCUGGGGGUCUCCCCAAAGGAUUAGUGGGUGUUUUCUAGAAGAAAAAGCUUAAAUAUCAGCCCAAAAGUAUUUGUGAUCUUUGCUGCUCUUUCCAAUCUUGAGAUAUUCUCGAAUAUUUGAAUGUUGCAGCAAUCUAUACAGUCAGUUCUCAUAGCUUGCCACUUCAAGUGCAGAGAGCUCCCAGGACGAGGUUUUCUAAAUUUCUCUUUCUCUGGCUGACUUUUCAUUCACCCAGUGGGGGAUUGUUUUGAGAACACAGUGACAACUAAGCAAAAGAAAAUUCACAGCGACACUUGGGGCAAAGCUCCUUGGCAGCGAGAUGAAUUGAGCUUCUCAGGGGAAGCAGUGCUGUUGUUUGAGAUGUUCAAAACUCUGUAGGUCAGAAAUCGCAGGGAACUGUUUUUUGCUGGCAAAUGGACAUACUGGUGGAGAUGAUGGGUCUGUCUCCUUCUCUGACAGCUUUUAUUUUUUGUUAUUAUUUAUUGUUUUAUCAGCUUCAGAUCAUUGAUUUCACCUCUGCUCCAGUCUUGCUGUAUAUACUAUACAGUCCAUAAUAAGCGUGGUACUAAAUGAUAUGCUUUUGUGCUGAUGUGGUGCUUGUUUGUUUCCCAGUGGAACAAGGUGAUAUAGGCACAUACAUUAAAUAUAUUUAUGACAAAUUUCUCAUCUAUUACUUUUAUUUAGAGUGGUUUUGAAGUAGUGCAGAUUGUGCUGGAAAACAGACAUCUUUUUAGAGGUAGACCGCAAAUCCAGGAGUAUAUUUGCAUCCUUACCCCUUUUUAUUAUUAUUAUUAUUAUUUUACACAGGCAACUACAAAGCUGCAAGGGAGAAAAAGAGCUCACUACUUUCAUACAGUCAGCACAAUAGAUUCUGGCUCAUCUUUACUUGCUGGAGAAUCUCUCAGUAAAACAGAGAGACCACAGUAAACUGAAAACAGUGGCCAUGUCCUUUCUUUGUUGCCCUGAGUUGGGAGAGCUCGCCUGAAGCUGGGAAACUCUUUGGAUCUAUACCUUUAAAGGCUUAGUGGAAAAAGCUAGCAAAGCAAUUCAUUAUUAAUGCACGGCUAUUAUUAAGCAUUUGUUUUUUGUUUACAAAUAGCCCCUCCUCCAGCAAAAAGAGACCAGAGAAAAUGAGCAUGUUCAGAGGCCAGGGAAAAUGUGUUGGGAGGCAAAGGAAACUAUCAUUUGAUUUCUGUGCCCUAGGAAGACCACAGAUAGAUGUACCUGUACCUGUCACCUGAGAGCUACAGGAGUGUGGUAAAUGCUGAGCCCUUGUGUGUUUUAGGAAAGUGUGUCUCCUAAGUGCUUCGUGAAAGGAAAUUGAUACUUAUAUUCGAUGAUAAUGUCAAAUAAGAGAUCUCUCUUGAAGUUGAGUGCCUCCGUUCUUGGCAAGCUUGCUACUUCUUUUCCUGAUUUACUUCAGGGAAUAUUCUUGCCUCCAGCUUUUUAAUCUUCACUGAUGUCUAUCAUUUUUCUAGUUUUCCUAGCCUCAUAGAUAGGUUUCAGCUGGACUUAGCCUCGGUUUCAAAUGGACUUAUCUGGCUCAACCAUGUAAAAUGUAGCUCUGGUGUCCUGCUAUUUGGAUCAUGUCUAUCAACAUCCUAUGAAACUGAGAUUCAUAAGGAAGAAAUGCUUUUAAGAUGCAUGAUUCCUUCUUAUAGAGAUAGAUUAGUCUUAUUAUAAUGAAUGCUGUUAGAUAUUUUCUCUUACUCUUACCUUUCAUAUCUUCUUUAGCUCUGGUAACCACAGUUAAAAUGGCAAGAAAGCCUCCGCUACUGGAAAACUGUUAGGAUACCUCAAGCAAAAUACCUUUGGUGCUCAAUUCUUAUUUUCUAUUUUUAUCCUCAGCAGCCAGACCUUUUAUACUUUUGUUAUGGUCCUUCUGAAUCAGAUAUUUGGCUUGGUUUGCCAUUUCUGAGCCAGUUUCCCCAAAGACUGUAAUUACCAGGUUGUAUGGGAAUCCUGGGGCCUUCCGGAAGCCCUUUAUCCUGAUCUGUAACCUGCAGGAAUUUGGUUAGAGUAAUAGUUUGUAUCCAUAUGCGAUGUUGUCAACUGAUUUUAUCUCUGAUAGUGACCUUUGUAGUGUCUGAGCUGACAUGUGGCAUUCAUGUAUGCAGUUUGAGGCAGGGCUCUGAGAAAGCAGCAGUACGGAUCAGUCUUAGAUCCCAUACGGAGAAGUCAGAUAAAAGAGUCAUGAAGUAGCUUGGAAAACAGUGAACAUUUAUAUACCACAGUAAGAGCCAAAGGCUUGCAGCCACGUUAGAAAGUGCUUCCAAAUUUGGUUACAAGAAGAAUGAGAGGUUGCAGGCUGUUGAGCUUUCCCUCUUCAUUCGUUUCCCAUAGUAUCCACCAAUUCAUUUACUUUUUCUCCUUUUUCUCUAGCAUUCUUCUUUGCUUUUACAUUCUGCUCUUUGAUCUUCUGCCUCGCAUGCUAAGUGACUCUUCUGCCCUGCAUACUUCUGUGUGUUUGCAGUUUUUUUUUUAAAUGUAUAAUAAAGCUGGGGCCUGAUUGUCUUUGAAAGUGGAUUCUAGCUGGGUUAUUUAUCAGCUAUGUAGAUUGCAUUUCCUUAAUCUAGUUAGCUAUUUGGUUUAUAAAGACUUAUUGCAUGCAGUCAGUGGAUAAUGCAGUUAUAAACUACGUUGCAUAGAAUUUCCAUUUCUCGUCUGCCGUUUUGGGAACAGAUGUGAAAAAUUUCAUCCUGAUCCAGUGGCCUUCCCUGUUGCUGUUUUCUCUUGAGUCUAUCAGACGCUCUUCUCUCUAUCUGGCUUUCUGUUUUAUAAAUGCUCUUCUUCCAUGGAUCGGUUUAGUUAAAUCCUCUGCUGUGUGGACUUGCUGCCAUGAGCCCUCUUGAGGUCACUGAGAUGAGCACAGCGCUCCUGAGAAUGAGGGACUGUUUGCACUGGCAGGUAACACCAAACACAUGACUGAGUGCAAUAUGUGGUAAGUUUUACCCUAAAUUGCAGCAGCAGAGCCCUCUUAGCACCUCCAAACUGAAUUUAAUUUGUCGAUUACAGUCCAGCUUGACUUCUAGUAUUUGCCAAUUGUCAUGUGAACCUGAUAGUAAUUUUGUUUAGUAUUUACACUAACUCACUAAGUCCCCAGAUUGUUUGAAGAUCUCAGGAUGACAAGGGAAAAUGUUUUGAGCUUCUUGCUACAUAGUAAUCAGUUUUGUCCAGUACUAUCAACAUUAGCAAUAUAAUGGGCUCAAUGUGAGUCAAGAAGAGCCUAGUCUAUGGCAUGGCAUCAGAGCUUUUAUGGGCCCCUAGAGACUGUGAUAUUUUGAAACACUGGCAAGUCUCAUCAGACAAUGAUAUGCUGUCUUUCAAGUGCUUCUCUGCAGUGGUCUGUGUGCACUGGUGGAACAAAUCCAGUCAGCAGCUCUCUUGUACUGUCCUUUCAUCUGGUGAUAAAAUAACAGCCUCCAGAUGUCUGCCAUGGUUGUGUUCGAGUAAAGGGGAAAAGGAGCUGGUGGACCAAGAGGAUCUUGGCUACAGAGAUGCUUAACUUAGGAGUGGGACCUUCAUUCUUGUCUCCUGGGCAUGGGUCCAGGUGAACACACGUAGGUGGAGCAGAAUGCAAAUGUGUCUGUGUAGGCAGAGCAAUGAUCCGGAUCUGAGAUGAUUUGGAGGAGGUGUGUUACAGCAGUUAAGCACAGGACAUUUCUUUGCUGGGAGCUGACUUUGAUCUUGGAACAGGACUUCUGUGUGAAAUGAGUUCUGCUAGGUGCUGGUCUCUUUCCAAUUGAGUGACUUCUGUUUGUGGAGAUGAAUGAGGCUGGAGUUCAGCCCACUUUGCAGUCGGUUGUGUGUUAACUCGUGUCCUCUCCGUGGGACAGUUUUGCCUGGUACUCAGGCUGUACCAGACAGUGAAACUGUGAAACUGAGAAGAAUUUGAGAAUAAACCCAGAAAUAGAGGGUAUGCAUAACUGACUGUAAAGACACAAUAUCUGCUUGUUUGACUUGCAAGCUGAAGUUUCUUUCAUGCAUUCAUUUCCUAUAGUCUUGCAUCCUCCGGUUUCUUUGGCACGUAUGCUUACACCAGUUUAUGGGAUGGGAGGAUAUGGUAUCUCUUCCCACACACCUAGUCCAAAAAUGCCCCUCUACCUCCAUCCGUCUUGUGCCUUCUGGUAUACACUUUUGGCUCACAGGUACAAUAGGUGCCUCAGUUAAGUGAUCAGUCAGAAAGAGAAAUUUCUGAUUUUUUCUCUCGAGAAAAGUGUGAAAUUUUCCAGUACUCCUCUGGUGCUAUAGUGACUGUACCGUGUGCCACACAAACUGCAUUUAUGUGGAUCGAGCUGAAUGGAAAUACAGCCUUGCCAUAAAUUAGAGGAGAGGGGACUCUCUUUUCCCUCUCCAUUCCUGCCCACCUGACUCC
rnacentral:lncRNA from 1 species